GCAGCAAAAUCAAUAUUUCUUUGCAUUUCAAAAAUAGUAAGUGACAUAGAAUUAAAAAAACUGCAAAUAUUUGGAAAAAACUAAGUUACAGUUACAGGGACAUACACUUGAAAUCCACUGAACGAAAAAAAAAAACAAAAAAUAAUAUAAUUCUAUUAAACGGCGAUAUACUUUUCUUUCUUUUCGUUUCCUGAAAAGUUAUCAAAACUCAGUUACUAGGUUUUUCCUUUUCACGGGAGAAAUAUUUAUUCGCCAGAUAAAAUGUACCCGUCUUUUCACGUCAAUUUAUGUUCCAGUUAGUUAUCCGGUAGAUAAGCUUAAAAGUAAGUUUGGAUUCCGAACACACCUGACUUUUAUGUUUAUUUUUAUAAUUUCAGCUUUAACUUAACCUAACAUAAUUAGAUUCAAAGUAUUUCAAAGAUGAUUUUAUCGAUUUUAUUUCCAUUUUGGAAGAAGGAAUGAAGGAAAUAAGGAAAACAUUGAUUAUGCUGAAAUAGUUUACUGGAGAGCUUGAACAAGAGAUAAAUCCAUUUUAAAUUAGAGGAAAACUGUUGAUUUGUAUGUAAAAUAGAAGACAAAGACAAGUUUAAAUAAAGACAAGCUAGCUAAUGAAACAGAUGCAGUGAUAUGACAAACACCUAGAAGAUGGAAUCCUGUGUUCUCAAAGAAAAAGCUAGUUCCAGAAAUAAGCUACCAAUAAUAAACUAGAGAAUGUAUUACAAGAAAGAACAACGCUAAUACCCAACAUAGCUCAAUUGCUUCAGAUAGAAAAAGAGGAGGAAAGGGUAGAACACAAGCGUGCCAGAGAAAAUUAAAGGGCAGAAGAGACACAAAAAUUCAUUGAUUUAUUAAAUUUAAUAAUUAAAUUAUACAAAGGACAAUUAAAUAAAGAAUAAAAAAUUA
rnacentral:lncRNA from 1 species